GUGGCUGUGGCUUAGUUGGCUAAAGCACCGGUCAAGCGAAUACAGAGUCGUGGGUUGAUUGAUUAAGAGUCGUGGGUUCGAAUCCCACCAGUACG
rnacentral:tRNA from 1 species